GUCACUGCUAUUGGGAUUCGACUAAGCCAUGCGAGUCGAGAGGGUUCGGCCCUCGGCUGACGGCUCAGUAACACGUGGAUAAUCUGCCCUUAGGUGGAGGAUAAUCUCGGGAAACUGAGAAUAAUACUCCAUAGAUCUAGGAUGCUGGAAUGCAUCUAGAUUGAAAGCUCCGGCGCCUAAGGAUGAGUCUGCGGACUAUCAGGUUGUAGUCAGGGUAAAGACCUGACUAGCCUACGACGGAUACGGGUUGUGAGAGCAAUAACCCGGAGACGAUAUCUGAGACACGAUAUCGGGCCCUACGGGGCGCAGCAGGCGCGAAAACUUCACACUGUGCGAAAGCGCGAUGAGGGAAUCCCAAGUGUUUGCUCGUAAGAGUAAACUGUUUCUUUGUUUAAAACGCAGAGAGAGUAAGGGCUGGGUAAGACGGGUGCCAGCCGCCGCGGUAAUACCUGCAGCUCAAGUGGUGAUCAUUAUUAUUGGGCCUAAAACGUCCGUAGCCGGUUUAGUAAAUGCCUGGGUAAAUCGUGUAGCUUAACUAUACGACUUCCGGGUAGACUGCUAAACUUGAGACCGGGAGAGGCUAGAGGUACUCCUGGGGUAGAGGUGAAAUUCUGUAAUCCUAGGGGGACCACCAGUGGCGAAGGCGUCUAGCUAGAACGGGUCUGACGGUGAGGGACGAAGCCCUGGGGCACAAACCGGAUUAGAUACCCGGGUAGUCCAGGGUGUAAACGCUGCUUGCUUGAUGUUAGUUGGGCUCCGAGCCCAACUAGUGUCGGAGAGAAGUUGUUAAGCAAGCUGCCUGGGAAGUACGGUCGCAAGGCUGAAACUUAAAGGAAUUGGCGGGGGAGCACAGCAACGGGUGGAGCGUGCGGUUUAAUUGGAGUCAACGCCGGA
rnacentral:rRNA from 1 species